CCAAACUGUUGCCUCGGCGGGGUCACGCCCCGGGUGCGUAAAAGCCCCGGAACCAGGCGCCCGCCGGAGGAACCAACCAAACUCUUUCUGUAGUCCCCUCGCGGACGUAUUUCUUACAGCUCUGAGCAAAAAUUCAAAAUGAAUCAAAACUUUCAACAACGGAUCUCUUGGUUCUGGCAUCGAUGAAGAACGCAGCGAAAUGCGAUAAGUAAUGUGAAUUGCAGAAUUCAGUGAAUCAUCGAAUCUUUGAACGCACAUUGCGCCCGCCAGUAUUCUGGCGGGCAUGCCUGUCCGAGCGUCAUUUCAACCCUCGAACCCCUCCGGGGGAUCGGCGUUGGGGAUCGGGACCCCUCACCGGGUGCCGGCCCUGAAAUACAGUGGCGGUCUCGCCGCAGCCUCUCCUGCGCAGUAGUUUGCACAACUCGCACCGGGAGCGCGGCGCGUCCACGUCCGUAAAACACCCAACUUCUGAAAUGUUGACCUCGGAUCAGGUAGGAAUACCCGCUGAACUUAAGCAUAUCAAUAAUCGGAGGAA
rnacentral:rRNA from 1 species